AGGAGCGGAAUGAGGUGAAAAUCUCACGUUCCGUUCUGAAGACGAGUAGUUCUGGUGACAGAAUUGCUUAGUGUAAUUUUUUAGUCAAA
rnacentral:ncRNA from 1 species